rnacentral:rRNA from 1 species
GAACGGAGAGAUUCAUCGUCAUUCCGCGGCGUACGGACGCGCGCUUCGAUGUCGUCGGCCUCGGUCGGCUGGCACGACGCGUGUCCGUCGACGUCCGUGGACGGCGUGCACUUCUCUCUUAGUAAUACAUCGCGACCCGUUCGAUGUCGGUCUAAGCGCCGUGCGGGAGCCCAUUUGUCGCUUCGGCGGCGAGUGGACCGCCGCGGUUGCCGACCGGCGUACGGACGGUAUUGAAAUUGAACCGCGCACGCGUUUACGCGCGUCCGGCCCGACGCAAGCGUUGGUCGUCGUCAGAGUCCUGCCCGAGUGCGGACUAGGGCGCGGCCAGCCUGUUGUCGCUGCCGUGCAGUCUCGGACUGUGCGCGUCUCAGUCUGCGAUGAUUCAGUUUCGGGCACUCGCAGGACCCGUCUUGAAACACGGACCAAGGAGUCUAGCAUGUGUGCGAGUCAUUGAGAUUUAUAAACUGAAAGGCGUAACGAAAGUGAAGGCGUGCGCUUGUCGCGCGCUCAGGGAGGAUGGAGCGCCCGUCUAGGCGGGCCUCUCGCACUCCCGA